AGCGGCCGCGGACCCCAACGCCGCGUGGGCCGCCUACUACUCACACUACUACCAGCAGCCCCCGGGCCCCGUCCCCGGCCCCGCACCGGCCCCUGCGGCCCCACCGGCUCAGGGUGAGCCCCCUCAGCCCCCACCCACCGGCCAGUCGGACUACACUAAGGCCUGGGAAGAGUAUUACAAAAAGAUCGGUGAGUCUGCAGGGUGGUGGGGGGGCUCCAGCCCUGCCGGGGGAGUGGUUUCUGACCUGUCUCGCCGCCCGCACAGGCCAGCAGCCCCAGCAGCCUGGAGCGCCCCCACAGCAGGACUACACGAAGGCCUGGGAGGAGUACUACAAGAAGCAAGGUGAGUGGCCACCGUGCGGGGACAGGGGCAGGGGCAGCCCUCACCCACAGCCUCUCACCUGCCUUUGUCCACCCACAGCGCAAGUGGCCACCGGAGGGGGUCCAGGAGCUCCCCCAGGCUCCCAGCCAGACUACAGUGCCGCCUGGGCGGAAUAUUACAGACAG
rnacentral:sRNA from 1 species